UUCCGGUUGAUCCUGCCGGAGGUCACUGCUAUUGGGAUUCGACUAAGCCAUGCGAGUCGAGAGGGUUCGGCCCUCGGCAGACGGCUCAGUAACACGUGGAUAAUCUGCCCUUAGGUGGAGGAUAACCUCGGGAAACUGAGGAUAAUACUCCAUAGAUCUAAGAUGCUGGAAUGCACUUCGAUUGAAAGUUCCGACGCCUAAGGAUGAGUCUGCGGACUAUCAGGUAGUAGUCAGGGUAAAGGCCUGACUAGCCUACGACGGAUACGGGUUGUGAGAGCAAUAACCCGGAGACGAUAUCUGAGACACGAUAUCGGGCCCUACGGGGCGCAGCAGGCGCGAAACCUUCACAAUGUGCGAAAGCACGAUGAGGGGAUCCCAAGUGCUUGCUCGUAAGAGUAAGCUGUUUUUAUGUCUAAAAAGCAUGGAGAGUAAGGGCUGGGUAAGACGGGUGCCAGCCGCCGCGGUAAUACCCGCAGCUCAAGUGGUGACCGCUAUUAUUGGGCCUAAAACGUUCGUAGCCGGUUUGGUAAAUGUCUGGGUAAAUCGUGUAGCUUAACUAUACGAAUUCCGGGUAGACUGCCAAACUUGAGACCGGGAGAAGCUAGAGGUACUCCUGGGGUAGAGGUGAAAUUCUGUAAUCCUGGGGGGACCACCAGUGGCGAAGGCGUCUAGCUAGAACGGGUUUGACGGUGAGGAACGAAGCCCUGGGGCGCAAACCGGAUUAGAUACCCGGGUAGUCCAGGGUGUAAACGCUGCUUGCUUGAUGUUAGUUGGGCUCCGAGCCCAAUUAGUGUCGGAGAGAAGUUGUUAAGCAAGCUGCCUGGGAAGUACGAUCGCAAGAUUGAAACUUAAAGGAAUUGGCGGGGGAGCACAGCAACGGGUGGAGCGUGCGGUUUAAUUGGGAUUCAACGCCGGGA
rnacentral:rRNA from 1 species